UCGAGGGGCAGCAUGAACUUAGCUUGCUAAGUUUGAUGGCGACCGGCGCACGGGUGAGUAACACGUAUCCAACCUGCCGAUGACUCGGGGAUAGCCUUUCGAAAGAAAGAUUAAUACCCGAUGGCAUAGUUCUUCCGCAUGGUAGAACUAUUAAAGAAUUUCGGUCAUCGAUGGGGAUGCGUUCCAUUAGGUUGUUGGCGGGGUAACGGCCCACCAAGCCUUCGAUGGAUAGGGGUUCUGAGAGGAAGGUCCCCCACAUUGGAACUGAGACACGGUCCAAACUCC
rnacentral:rRNA from 1 species